AGUUAAUUAGCUUAAGAAAAGCCUAUAUUUUGAAAAUAUAACAAAAAGGUUUAAUUCCUUUAUUAACUU
rnacentral:tRNA from 1 species